rnacentral:tRNA from 1 species
GCGAAUAUCGUAUAAUGGCUAUUACCUCAGCCUUCCAAGCUGAUGAUGCGGGUUCGAUUCCUGCUGUUCGCUCCA